UGCUUAUUCCUGUGAAACAAUCAGUGAUCUCUAACUGCAGCUCAGAGGAAACAAGAGGGAUGGAUAACACCUUUUGUUGGAACUCAAGAGUUACGUAUGGCCCUCAUCAUACUGAUGCUUUCUGAUUGAGCCCAGCUCUAUCCUGAAUAUAAGAGACCCUGUUUUGUUUCCACAGAUAUUUCUGAAACAGCAAUGACCUUAAAAUUUUACUCACAUAAGUUCCUAAUAGUGAGAUUAUAAGAAUCCAAUAUUCUACAAGUUUCACUAAUUUCCUUGUAAGUGAUCAUAUUUUCUCUUCUUAGAAUGUGCCUUAAAAUUUUUCUCCUUUGUCCUCUUUAUGCAUUAUUUUUGUAUAUAUUUUUCUUUUCUAACUCUACAUUCCUUCCCAUCCCCUUAGGCUAUAGAUUUUCCUAGAAACAUGUCAGCAUUCUCUUCUGUCCUCAACUAAUUUCUGUCCCUGUUUUCUCUUUUACUUUGAAGUUAUAUGAAGUUCAAUUUAUUCUGAUCCCCACAAGAAUAAAGCUAUAAAAAUGAUAACAGCUUGCAUAAACUUUUCAAAACAUUAUAAAUACCUGCUGGUCUUCAAAGGAAUUGUCAUAGAAGCAUUUUAUUUUAUUUUACUUAUUAAACAUUCCACCAUUAUGUAAUAUAUUUUUCUUCUUUUAGAAUUUCCUUGAAAAUCAAAUUAUUUUGCUUAUAAUCACAACCAAAAUAAUGUUACUCAAAAUGAUCAUCCUCUUUGCUAUUCAAUAAUUAGCAGUAUAAUACUUUUUAAUGGCCACUAUUACAUUAUAAAGUGUGGCAGCUUACAGAUCGCCACAAAUUCCUUGGUACUUGAUAUGGUUUGGCUCUGUGUCCCCACCCAAAUCUCAUCUUGUAGCUCCCAUAAUUCCCACGUGUUGUGGGAGAGACCCAGUGGGAAAUGACUGAAUCAUGGGGGUGGGCUGUUCUCAUGAUAGUGAAUGAUGGUUUUUAAAAUGAGAGUUUUUGGUUUUAAAAACGGGAAUUGUUAGAGAUCUGAUGGUUUUAAAAACAGGAGUUUCUCUGCACAAGCUCUCUUUGCCUGCUGCCAUUCAUGUAAGAUGUGACUUGCUCCUCCUUGCCUUCCGCCAUGAUUGUGAGGCCUCCCUGGCCAUGUGGAACUGUGAGUCCAGUUAAACCUCUUUCUUUUGUAAAUUGCCCAGUCUCAGGUAUGUCUUUAUUAGCAGCAUGAAAACGGACUACUGCAGUAUUCCUUUCAUCAAAAGUUAGAACUGUGUCCCCUCUCAUGAGUUUGAGUGGGCCCUCUCACUGGUUUGACCAUGAGAAUAUGGAGGAAGUGACAGACACUGUCAGAUGCCAGAUAGGCCAUAAGAAAAUGGCAGCUUCAAUUUCUUCUUUUUGAACCGCUGAGUUGCUGUGUGAAAUUUCCAACUAUACAAAGCCCGCCAUGCUGUGAGAAAGCCCAAACUAGCCACAUGAAGAAACCAGGUAGAGAGAAGGACAGAUGCCUGGCCAUUCCCCAGCUAUAUGGCCCAGCCCCUAGCUUUUGAGUUAACCUACCUGAGGUCCCAGACAUUGUGGAGCAGAGAUAUAGUCCAUCCUUGCCGUGCUCUCACACAUGAAUCUGAGAUGUCAUAAUCAAUUUUUAUCUUAAGCCACUAAGUUAGGUGUAGUUUGUUACACAACAAUAGAUGACUGGAACCUGAAAAUGAUAGUUAAUUUACCCUAUUUUUGGAAAAUUAGGUUAUUUUCAGUUUUACACUGUUGCUAAUAAUUAUGGUUAAACAUAUUUGCAUAUAAAUCUAGAUGAAUAUCUGGUUAUUUCUUCAGUAUAAAUUUCUAGAAAUAUAAUUACUAGGGUGAAGGAUAUAAAUACUAUAAAGAUUCUUGAUAUGUACUGCCAAAUUUCAUUUUAGAAAGAUUACGACAAAUUAUAUUCCCACCAAAAAUGUAAAAGGAUGUCCGUAUAUUCACAUCCUCUCCAACAUAAGUAAUUAAUAUUUUAAAAAUUAGUUGUCAACAUGAUGGCCAAAAAUGGAAACGUGCACUUCUUGGAUGAGACCAGAUGAGUCUAUUUCUUUCAGAGGAUUAUUCAUCCUUUUUCCCCCUUUUUUGUCAAUUGUUCAGUAAUAUCAAAAGAGACUACUGGCCUGGCACGGUGGCUCACCCCUAUAAUCCCAACACUUUGGAAGGCCGAGGAGGGUGG
rnacentral:lncRNA from 10 species